UAUCGGAAGUGCGGCUGGAUCACUCCUUUUGAGUAUGGUGAAAAUAAUUGUCUUAUCAGGCGUCCUCACAAGUUACUUGCAUUCAGGGUUUGAUGUUGGCAUAGGUUUGGGUUUAUGUUGGCGAUUUUUGUUCUGGGGGCCUUAGCUCAGCUGGUAGAGCACCUGCUUUGCAAGCAGGGGGUCGUCGGUUCGAUCCCGACAGGCUCCACCAUGAAAGUAUUUAUGGGUCUGUAGCUCAGGUGGUUAGAGCGCACCCCUGAUAAGGGUGAGGUCGGUGGUUCGAGUCCUCCCAGACCCACCAAUGUUAUAUCAAUUAUUCUGAAUGUGGUUUGCGCAUUUUUUAUGCUUAUCAGCCUUGGAGCUGUGAAGCGUUCUUUUAUAAUUUGAUGAUGUAGCAAGCGUUUGAACUUUUUAUUAAUAAUUUCUCAUUGGAAGCCUUAAGUGACAAUGUUUAUCCAUUGUCUUGUAGAUUUUGAGGCGACUUUGGGUUAUAUGUCAAGCGAAUAAGCG
rnacentral:misc_RNA from 1 species